AGCUUUGUGCAGUGGCAGUAUUAUAGCCAAUGAGGUUUAUCCAAGGCAUGAUUAUUACUAAUUGAAAUUAAACACCCUUUUAUCAGUAAUUAUAGUUGUAUCAAAAGAC
rnacentral:snRNA from 1 species